AACAGUUAUGAGGGCGGAACUUAGAAAUGAUGAAGGCGGAGCCAGGGUCUGUAGUAAUUGGGCUGAGGACCGGGUUUAGGAGCGCAAAAAGUGGAGUCCAGGAGUAGAGGAAAUAGAUUGAGGAAGGGGCUUGGAGCAUGAGAGGCAGAGUCCUAGUGUGGAGCAACAGGACAAGCGCGGAACUUAGGCAGGCAAGAGGCUGAGCCCAGGCCUGUGGCACCAAUCUGGGGGCAGACUGUGUUGCUGGUCCACUUUGAUUUCCAAAGACAGCAUUGCCUUUACUGAAGGCCAGCUACAUCAAAUGGCAUACCACAUGAUCAUGAUGAGUUGUCCUGUGAAGGAACCGAUCCAUCUGCAAUACAACCACUGUUUGGAAAAUUCAUCUUCUUAUUGAGCUUGGCUGUCUGCUACAUGCUCCCUGUGGAGUGGAACAUCCACAGACAUUUUAAAGGAACAGCUUUGUGUCCCACCAAAGCUCCUGGCACUACUGACUUUGGAUCUGUGGGCAGUAUUUGGAUCAAUAGCAGUAUUGUUGCCGAUUGAAAACUCAGGGAGACGCACACACAUGUACCCCAGGUGCUGAGGACUGAAAACAUGGACUCACACAUCAUACAUGUGUAAGCUCUCCCAUCUACCACUGAGCUUCAGGUUUGUCAGCCAUCUCUCCACAUACACAUUAAGCAUUUGAAAAUAAACACUGCUGAUAUUGGAUGAUAGCAAGGUUCAGAAGACCUUCCAGAGGAUUUCGAGGAUCUUCUGUCCUCAAGGAAUCGAUUACAGAUUUCUACUUGCAGAAAAGGUCUCAUUGUUGGAAGAGUGUCCUGCUGAUUGGUAGGGAAGUGGCACCGGAGACAGAGGUGGCAACAGCAGCCAGGUGGACUGGGAGCAAGAAGAGAAGGAAAACAUGUUCUCAUCUCAGGAACACCCAGAACCCUUUGAUGUGCAAAAAGAUUAUAAGCGGCAACUUGGGGAACUUCCUCACUGGGGUAAAGUUCCUCUCUCUCCAGCAGACAUCAAGUGAUCAGGGCAUUGUCCGAAUGAAUAUCAACCAUCGAGGAUAUCCACAGAGAUCUGGGUUUAAGAUCUGCUUAGGCAGAAGUGACACCAAGAGUAUCAUAUGCUGAAACCUGGACACAAAUUGUAUGGUUUAAACAACUCGGAAUACACAGACUAUUUUUUAUUUAUAGUAAACUUUUUGUGUUUG
rnacentral:lncRNA from 1 species